GAUGAACGCUAGCGGUAUGCUUAACACAUGCAAGUCGUACGGGAGUUUUUAACUCAAGUGGCGGACGGGUGAGUAACACGUGAGAAUUUACCUUUAGGAGGGGAUAACAAUUGGAAACGAUUGCUAAUACCCCCAUAUGCUUUUUUAAGUGAAACGGAUUUAUUCGCCUAAAGAAAAGCUCGCGGCUGAUUAGCUAGUUGGUAAGGUAAUGGCUUACCAAGGCGACGAUCAGUAUCUGGUUUGAGAGGAUGAUCAGACACACUGGAACUGAGACACGGUCCAGACUCCUACGGGAGGCAGCAGUGGGGAAUUUUCCGCAAUGGGCGAAAGCCUGACGGAGCAAUACCGCGUGAGGGAA
rnacentral:rRNA from 1 species